GGGCCCGCACAAGCGGUGGAGCAUGUGGUUCAAUUCGAAGCAACGCGAAGAACCUUACCAGCUUUUGACAUCCCGGUCGCGAGCACCAGAGAUGGAGCUCUUCAGUUCGGCUGGACCGGAGACAGGUGCUGCAUGGCUGUCGUCAGCUCGUGUCGUGAGAUGUUGGGUUAAGUCCCGCAACGAGCGCAACCCUCGCCCUUAGUUGCCAUCAUUUAGUUGGGCACUCUAAGGGGACUGCCGGUGAUAAGCCGGAGGAAGGUGGGGAUGACGUCAAGUCCUCAUGGCCCUUACAGGCUGGGCUACACACGUGCUACAAUGGCGGUGACAGAGGGAUGCAAAGGAGCAAUCCUUAGCAAAUCUCAAAAAGCCGUCUCAGUUCGGAUUGUGCUCUGCAACUCGAGCACAUGAAGUUGGAAUCGCUAGUAAUCGCAGAUCAGCACGCUGCGGUGAAUACGUUCCCGGGCCUU
rnacentral:rRNA from 1 species